rnacentral:rRNA from 1 species
UGGGGAAUCUUCCGCAAUGGGCGAAAGCCUGACGGAGCAACGCCGCGUGAGUGAAGACGGCCUUCGGGUUGUAAAACUCUGUGAUUCGGGACGAAAGAUAAGCAGACGAAUAAUCUGCAUAAGUGACGGUACCGAAAAAGCAAGCCACGGCUAACUACGUGCCAGCAGCCGCGGUAAUACGUAGGUGGCAAGCGUUGUCCGGAAUUAUUGGGCGUAAAGCGCGCGCAGGCGGCUACGUAAGUCCAUCUUAAAAGUGCGGGGCUUAACCCCGUGAUGGGAUGGAAACUGAGAAGCUGGAGUGUCGGAGAGGAAAGUGGAAUUCCUAGUGUAGCGGUGAAAUGCGUAGAGAUUAGGAAGAGCACCGGUGGCGAAGGCGACUUUCUGGACGACAACUGACGCUUAGGCGCGAAAGCGUGGGGAGCAAACAGG